rnacentral:rRNA from 1 species
ACCGGAUAGGAGAAGCGUUUUGGAACAGAUCUUCUCUGAAACCUGCCAUACGAUGAGUCGGCGGCGGAUUAGGUAGUUGGUGAGGUAAUGGCUCACCAAGCCUGUGAUCUGUACGGGCCUUGAGAGAGGUAGCCCGGAGAAGGACACUGAGAUACUGGUCCUAGCCCCACGGGGUGCAGCAGCCGCGAAAACUUUACAAUGCACGCAAGUGUGAUAAGGGAACUCCAAGUGCUUAUGCUAAGCAUAGGCUUUUGCCAUGUGUAAACAGCAUGGCGAAUAAGUGGUGGGUAAGACGGGUGCCAGCAGCCGCGGUAACACCUGCGCCACGAGUGGCAGCCGAUAUUAUUGGGCCUAAAGCGUCCGUAGCUGGCCUUGUAAAUCUCUUGUGAAAUUGUUAGGCUCAACCUAACAGCGUGCAGGAGAGACUGCAAGGCUCGGAACCGGUAGGAGUCAGAAGUAUUUUUGGGGUAGCGGUAAAAUGUUAUAAUCCCAAAAAGACUACCUGUGGCGAAGGCGUCUGACUAGGACGGAUUCGACAGUGAGGGACGAAAGCCAGGGGAGCAAAAAGGAUUAGAUACAAGAAAUUUUCUGCAAAAAUUUCUGUACAAG